rnacentral:rRNA from 1 species
UGAGGAAUAUUGGUCAAUGGGCGGGAGCCUGAACCAGCCAAGCCGCGUGAGGGAUGAAGGCCCUAUGGGUCGUAAACCUCUUUUGUCAGGGAACAAAAGCGAGUAUGUAUACUAGUCUGAGUGUACCUGAAGAAAAAGCAUCGGCUAACUCCGUGCCAGCAGCCGCGGUAAUACGGAGGAUGCGAGCGUUAUCCGGAUUUAUUGAGUUUAAAGGGUGCGUAGGCGGCGAUGCAAGUCAGCGGUAAAAGCCCGGGGCUCAACCCCGGCGAGCCGUUGAAACUGCAGUGCUAGAGAAGGCGAGAGGUACGCGGAAUGCGCAGUGUAGCGGUGAAAUGCUUAGAUAUUGCGCAGAACUCCGAUUGCGAAGGCAGCGUACUGGCGCCUGACUGACGCUGAGGCACGAAAGCGUGGGGAUCGAACAGGAUUAGAUACC